GGCCCCUUAGCUCAACUGGAUAGAGCAGCUGACUUCUAAUCAGCAGGCUGAGGGUUCGAGUCCUUCAGGGGUCGCCA
rnacentral:tRNA from 1 species